rnacentral:rRNA from 1 species
AACGUAGGUGGCAAGCGUUAUCCGGAAUUACUGGGCGUAAAGGGUGUGCAGGCGGGGCUGCAAGUGGGGUAUGAAAUAUCCCAGCUUAACUGGGAGGGGUUAUGCCAGACUGCAACUCUAGAGGACGAGAGAGGGGGGUGGAAUUCCGGGUGUAGUGGUGAAAUGCGUAGAGAUCCGGAGGAACCCCAGAGGCGAAGGCGGCCCCCUGGCUCGUACCUGACGCUCAGCCACGAAAGCAUGGGGAGCGAACGGG